rnacentral:rRNA from 1 species
GACGAACGCUGGCGGCGUGCUUAACACAUGCAAGUCGAACGGAAAGGCCCUGCUUUUGUGGGGUGCUCGAGUGGCGAACGGGUGAGUAACACGUGAGUAACCUGCCCUUGACUUUGGGAUAACUUCAGGAAACUGGGGCUCAUACCGGAUAGGAGCUCCUGCUGCAUGGUGGGGGUUGGAAAGUUUCGGCGGUUGGGGAUGGACUCGCGGCUUAUCAGCUUGUUGGUGGGGUAGUGGCUUACCAAGGCUUUGACGGGUAGCCGGCCUGAGAGGGUGACCGGCGACAUGGGGACUGAGAGACGGCCCAGACUGCUACGGGAGGCAGCAGUGGGGAAUAUGGCACAAUGGGCGGAAGCCUGAUGCAGCAACGCCGCGUGCGGGAUGACGGCCUUCGGGUUGUAAACCGCUUUCGCCUGUGACGAAGCGUGAGUGACGGUAAUGGGUAAAGAAGCACCGGCUAACUACGUG